AGGAAUGACUUCCACAAUGGACGAAAGUCUGAUGGAGCAACGCCGCGUGAGUGAUGAAGGGUUUCGGCUCGUAAAACUCUGUUGUUGGAGAAGAACGGGUGUCAGAGUAACUGUUGACAUCGUGACGGUAUCCAACCAGAAAGCCACGGCUAACUACGUGCCAGCAGCCGCGGUAAUACGUAGGUGGCAAGCGUUGUUCGAUUUAUUGGGCGUAAAGCGAGCGCAGGCGGUUUUUUAGGUCUGAUGUGAAAGCCUUCGGCUUAACCGGAGAAGUGCAU
rnacentral:rRNA from 1 species